rnacentral:rRNA from 1 species
CAAUAGCGUAUAUUAAAGUUGUUGCAGUUAAAAAGCUCGUAGUUGGAUUUGUGGCGUACGGUGUGUUCCGGGCACUUGUUGUCUGAGUAACCUGCUGUUGCCAUCCUUGGGUGGAACCUGUGUGGCAUUAGGUUGUCGUGCAGGGGAUGCCCAUCAUUUACUGUGAAAAAAUUAGAGUGUUCAAAGCAGGCUUAUGCCGUUGAAUAUAUUAGCAUGGAAUAAUGAGAUAGGACUUUUUUGCUAUUUUGUUGGUUUGCGCAAGAAGGUAAUGAUUAAUAGGGACAGUUGGGGGUAUUCGUAUUCCAUUGUCAGAGGUGAAAUUCGUGGAUUUUUGGAAGACGAACUACUGCGAAAGCAUUUACCAAGGAUGUUUUCAUUAA